CGGCUCGACUCUCCCACCCUUUGUGAACGUACCUCUGUUGCUUUGGCGGCUCCGGCCGCCAAAGGACCUUCAAACUCCAGUCAGUAAACGCAGACGUCUGAUAAACAAGUUAAUAAACUAAAACUUUCAACAACGGAUCUCUUGGUUCUGGCAUCGAUGAAGAACGCAGCGAAAUGCGAUAAGUAAUGUGAAUUGCAGAAUUCAGUGAAUCAUCGAAUCUUUGAACGCACAUUGCGCCCCUUGGUAUUCCGGGGGGCAUGCCUGUUCGAGCGUCAUUACAACCCUCAAGCUCUGCUUGGAAUUGGGCACCGUCCUCACUGCGGACGCGCCUCAAAGACCUUCGGCGGUGGCUGUUCAGCCCUCAAGCGUAGUAGAAUACACCUCGCUUUGGAGCGGUUGGCGUCGCCCGCCGGACGAACCUUCUGAACUUUUCUCAAGGUUGACCUCGGAUCAGGUAGGGAUACCCGCUGAACUUAAGCAUAUCAA
rnacentral:rRNA from 1 species